rnacentral:lncRNA from 1 species
CCACCUUCCAGAUCUCCUCAUCCAUCUGCAUAAUCUUCUUGAUCUCUGCCAAUGGGAACCAGGCAUUGUACUUCUUGUUGGCUCACCUGCUAGGGAAGUCUUCCCACCUCUUGCCUUACACAGUAGAAAAUGGUGAAAAACAGCCAAGCCACUCAUCUGGCCAACUCAUGGUGGAGGGGAAGAAUUUGUAUCUAGCACUUCUAAGGCCUGUAAUUCAUCUCCAGGUGCCAGGCAGAUUGCCUCCCAGUCCUCAGCUGCCUUCCAGGCUGCCAAAAAGGUGCCAACAGGACACCCACCUCAUCCUGCCAACUAUGCCACUUGUCAGUGUAAGAGAGAUGAAGUGCUAUUUUCUCAGUCUCAGAGGCUGGAGAAUAAGUCUUCAUGCUGCAAAGAGACGUAGAAGGUUCAUCACAGCAUCCACUCCAUUAAGGUAUAUGGUGAGAGCUUGGUCACAAAAGUUAGGUCUAGGCCCAAAACAUUUCAGCUAAAAAUAAGCUCUCUAAAACUGUGCACAGAAGGCAAAGACCACCUUGAUGUUCUAUUAAUCUAAAUCAUGGGCAAAAUCUGUGAAUGACAAGUUGUACUCUAUGGCCCAGACUUUAAAAUUUCCAGGGCUGUGGGCAGAGUCAAGAAAGGUCACUUGAAAGAUGUCUCAAGACUCGUCUGUGGAAGCUGUCACACUAAUGG